GUAAGUAGCACUUGAGAUUUCCAUUGGAUCCUGUAACACGUUUUGACUGCUCAUGAAGACAUUAGGAGUGUUUCUGUAUUGUGGCCUCAUGCAGACUGAUCAAACUCCGGAAUUUGUACGUCUGUCAAAAUCUUCCCCAACUGCUUCUUCUUUGGAUAAGAAGCUUUUUGUCUGUUCAGUUAUGUGG